AAACACGGACCAAGAAGUCUUGAAUGUGCGCAAGUCAAAGGGCUGUCUAAACCCCAAGGCGAAACGAAAGUGAAAGCUUUCAUUGGGCUGAUCCGGUUCGGGGUGCGCGAGUCGGGGGCCGGUAAAUAUCUGUUGUUAGCGGCUACGUUCCCGCGGUCGUUCGGUCCCAAUUGUUUUACCACACCUCCUUUCUCAUCGCGCACCUUUACGUUUAAGCGAUGAAAGGGGAGAGUGUGGCGGGCAGUGG
rnacentral:rRNA from 1 species